rnacentral:rRNA from 1 species
AGGACGGACGCUGGCGGCGUGCUUAACACAUGCAAGUCGAACGGUGAAGCCUUUCGGGGUGGAGUCAGUGGCGAACGGGUGAGUAACACGUGGGCAAUCUGCCCUGCACUCUGGGACAAGCCCUGGAAACGGGGUCUAAUACCGGAUAUGACGUACUCGGGCAUCCGAUGUGCGUGGAAAGCUCCGGCGGUGCAGGGAUGAGCUCGCGGCCUAUCAGCUUGUUGGUGGGGUGAUGGCCUACCAAGGCGACGACGGGUA